rnacentral:misc_RNA from 1 species
GGCUCGGCGAGGCUGCGGGUAGGUGGCUUGAGCCGGCGCGCGAGCGCCGGCCUAGAGGAAUGAUUGCCACGGCGCGGCAACGCGCCGCACAGAAUCCGGCGUACAGGCGGACUUUGCCU